GACGAACGCUGGCGGCGUGCUUAACACAUGCAAGUCGAACGGAAAGGCCCUGCUUGUUUGGGGUGCUCGAGUGGCGAACGGGUGUGUAACACGUGAGUAACCUGCCCUUGACUGUGGGAUAACUUCAGGAAACUGGGGCUAAUACCGUAUAGGAGCUCCUGCUGCAUUGUGGGGGGUGGAAAGUUUCGGCGGUUGGGGAUGGACUCGCGGCUUAUCAGCUUGUUGGUGGGGUAGUGGCUUACCAAGGCUUUGACGGGUAGCCGGCCUGAGAGGGUGACCGGCCACACUGGGACUGAGAUACGGCCCAGACUCCUACGGGAGGCAGCAGUGGGGAAUAUUGCACAAUGGGCGGAAGCCUGAUGCAGCAACGCCGCGUGCGGGAUGACGGCCUUCGGGUUGUAAACCGCUUUCGCCUGUGACGAAGCGUGAGUGACGGUAAUGGGUAAAGAAGCACCGGCUAACUACGUG
rnacentral:rRNA from 1 species